AGCGUACACGGUGGAUGCCUAGGCAGUCAGAGGCGAUGAAGGGCGUGCUAAUCUGCGAAAAGCGUCGGUAAGGUGAUAUGAACCGUUAUAACCGGCGAUACCCGAAUGGGGAAACCCAGUGUGUUUCGACACACUAUCAUGUCAUGAAUACAUAGUGGCAUGAGGCGAACCGGGGGAACUGAAACAUCUAAGUACCCCGAGGAAAAGAAAUCAACCGAGAUUCCCCCAGUAGCGGCGAGCGAACGGGGAGGAGCCCAGAACCUGAAUCGGCUUGUGUGUUAGUGGAAGCGUCUGGAAAGUCGCGCAGCAAAGGGUGAUAGCCCCGUACACUAAAAUGCACAGGUCGUGAGUUCGAUGAGUAGGGCGGGACACGUGACAUCCUGUCUGAAUAUGGGGGGACCAUCCUCCAAGGCUAAAUACUCCUGACUGACCGAUAGUGAACCAGUACCGUGAGGGAAAGGCGAAAAGAACCCCGGCGAGGGGAGUGAAAUAGAACCUGAAACCGUGUACGUACAAGCAGUGGGAGCACCUUCGUGGUGUGACUGCGUACCUUUUGUAUAAUGGGUCAGCGACUUAUAUUUUGUAGCAAGGUUAACCGUAUAGGGGAGCCGUAGGGAAACCGAGUCUUAACUGGGCGAAUAGUUGCAAGGUAUAGACCCGAAACCCGGUGAUCUAGCCAUGGGCAGGUUGAAGGUUGGGUAACACUAACUGGAGGACCGAACCGACUAAUGUUGAAAAAUUAGCGGAUGACUUGUGGCUGGGGGUGAAAGGCCAAUCAAACCGGGAGAUAGCUGGUUCUCCCCGAAAGCUAUUUAGGUAGCGCCUCGUGAACUCAUCUUCGGGGGUAGAGCACUGUUUCGGCUAGGGGGCCAUCCCGGCUUACCAAACCGAUGCAAACUCCGAAUACCGAAGAAUGUUAUCACGGGAGACACACGGCGGGUGCUAACGUCCGUCGUGAAGAGGGAAACAACCCAGACCGCCAGCUAAGGUCCCAAAGUCAUGGUUAAGUGGGAAACGAUGUGGGAAGGCACAGACAGCCAGGAUGUUGGCUUAGAAGCAGCCAUCAUUUAAAGAAAGCGUAAUAGCUCACUGGUCGAGUCGGCCUGCGCGGAAGAUGUAACGGGGCUAAACCAUGCACCGAAGCUGCGGCAGCGACGCUUAGGCGUUGUUGGGUAGGGGAGCGUUCUGUAAGCCGUUGAAGGUGGCCUGUGAGGGUUGCUGGAGGUAUCAGAAGUGCGAAUGCUGACAUAAGUAACGAUAAAGCGGGUGAAAAGCCCGCUCGCCGGAAGACCAAGGGUUCCUGUCCAACGUUAAUCGGGGCAGGGUGAGUCGACCCCUAAGGCGAGGCUGAAAAGCGUAGUCGAUGGGAAACAGGUUAAUAUUCCUGUACUUGGUGUUACUGCGAAGGGGGGACGGAGAAGGCUAGGCUAGCCGGGCGACGGUUGUCCCGGUUUAAGCGUGUAGGGGGUGUGACCUGGUAAAUCCGGUUGCAUNUAACCCUGAGGCGUGAUGACGAUGCACUACGGUGCAGAAGUAGUUGAUGCCCUGCUUCCAGGAAAAUCCUCUAAGCUCCAGGUAACAUUAAAUCGUACCCCAAACCGACACAGGUGGUCAGGUAGAGAAUACCAAGGCGCUUGAGAGAACUCGGGUGAAGGAACUAGGCAAAAUGGUGCCGUAACUUCGGGAGAAGGCACGCUGGCAUGUAGGUGAAGUCCCUUGCGGAUGGAGCUGAAGCCAGUCGAAGAUACCAGCUGGCUGCAACUGUUUAAUAAAAACACAGCACUGUGCAAACACGAAAGUGGACGUAUACGGUGUGACGCCUGCCCGGUGCUGGAAGGUUAAUUGAUGGGGUCAGCCGCAAGGCGAAGCUCUUGAUCGAAGCCCCAGUAAACGGCGGCCGUAACUAUAACGGUCCUAAGGUAGCGAAAUUCCUUGUCGGGUAAGUUCCGACCUGCACGAAUGGCGUAAUGAUGGCCAGGCUGUCUCCACCCGAGACUCAGUGAAAUUGAACUCGCUGUGAAGAUGCAGUGUACCCGCGGCAAGACGGAAAGACCCCGUGAACCUUUACUAUAGCUUGACACUGAACAUUGAGCCUUGAUGUGUAGGAUAGGUGGGAGGCUUUGAAGCGUGGACGCCAGUCUGCGUGGAGCCAUCCUUGAAAUACCACCCUUUAAUGUUUGAUGUUCUAACUCGGCCCCGUGAUCCGGGGUGAGGACAGUGUCUGGUGGGUAGUUUGACUGGGGCGGUCUCCUCCCAAAGAGUAACGGAGGAGCACGAAGGUUAGCUAAUCACGGUCGGACAUCGUGAGGUUAGUGCAAAGGCAUAAGCUAGCUUGACUGCGAGAGUGACGGCUCGAGCAGGUACGAAAGUAGGUCUUAGUGAUCCGGUGGUUCUGAAUGGAAGGGCCAUCGCUCAACGGAUAAAAGGUACUCCGGGGAUAACAGGCUGAUACCGCCCAAGAGUUCAUAUCGACGGCGGUGUUUGGCACCUCGAUGUCGGCUCAUCACAUCCUGGGGCUGAAGUAGGUCCCAAGGGUAUGGCUGUUCGCCAUUUAAAGUGGUACGCGAGCUGGGUUUAGAACGUCGUGAGACAGUUCGGUCCCUAUCUGCCGUGGGCGUUGGAAGAUUGAGAGGGGUUGCUCCUAGUACGAGAGGACCGGAGUGAACGCACCACUGGUGUUCGGGUUGUCAUGCCAAUGGCAUUGCCCGGUAGCUAAGUGCGGAAAAGAUAAGCGCUGAAAGCAUCUAAGCGCGAAACUUGCCUCAAGAUGAGUCU
rnacentral:rRNA from 1 species